rnacentral:rRNA from 1 species
AUUGAACGCUGGCGGCAUGCCUUACACAUGCAAGUCGAACGGCAGCACGGGAGCAAUCCUGGUGGCGAGUGGCGAACGGGUGAGUAAUAUAUCGGAACGUGCCCAGUGUGGGGGAUAACGUUCGGAAACGGACGCUAAUACCGCAUACGUCCUACGGGAGAAAGCGGGGGAUCUUCGGACCUCGCGCCAUUAGAUGAGCCUAGGUCGGAUUAGCUAGUUGGUGAGGUAAUGGCUCACCAAGGCGACGAUCCGUAACUGGUCUGAGAGGAUGAUCAGUCACACUGGAACUGAGACACGGUCCAGACUCCUACGGGAGGCAGCAGUGGGGAAUAUUGGACAAUGGGCGAAAGCCUGAUCCAGCCAUGCCGCGUGUGUGAAGAAGGCCUUAGGGUUUGUAAAGGCUCUUUUUACCAGGGAUGAUAAUGACAGUACCUGGAGAAUAAGCUCCGGCUAACUCCGUGCCAGCAGCCGCGGU